AAAGUCCCGAAAGGGAUUAGUAGAGUGGCAAACGGGUGAGUAACGCGUGGGUGACCUGCCUUCGAGCGGGGGAUAACGUCCCGAAAGGGACGCUAAUACCGCAUAACAUCCUGUCUUUUAACAGAUGGAGAUCAAAGCUGGGGAUCGCAAGACCUAGCACUUGAAGAGGGGCCCGCGUCUGAUUAGCUAGUUGGUGAGGUAACGGCUCACCAAGGCGACGAUCAGUAUCCGGCCUGAGAGGGCGGACGGACACACUGGGACUGAGACACGGCCCAGACUCCUACGGGAGGCAGCAGUGGGGAAUUGUUCGCAAUGGGCGCAAGCCUGACGACGCAACGCCGCGUGGAGGAUGAAGACCUUCGGGUCGUAAACUCCUUUCGAUCGAGACGAAUGGCCUCCGGGUGAAUAAUCUGGAGGAGUGACGGUACCGAGAGAAGAAGCCCCGGCUAACUCCGUGCCAGCAGCCGCGGUAAUACGGGGGGGGCAAGCGUUGUUCGGAAUUACUGGGCGUAAAGGGCUCGUAGGCGGCCAACUAAGUCAGACGUGAAAUCCCUCGGCUUAACCGGGGAACUGCGUCUGAUACUGGAUGGCUUGAGUUUGGGAGAGGGAUGCGGAAUUCCAGGUGUAGCGGUGAAAUGCGUAGAUAUCUGGAGGAACACCGGUGGCGAAGGCGGCAUCCUGGACCAACACUGACGCUGAGGAGCGAAAGCCAGGGGAGCAAACGGGAUUAGAUACCCCGGUAGUCCUGGCCCUAAACGAUGAAUGCUUGGUGUGACGGGUAUCGAUCCCUGUCGUG
rnacentral:rRNA from 1 species